rnacentral:rRNA from 1 species
UACGGGGGGAGCAAGCGUUGUUCGGAUUUACUGGGCGUAAAGGCGCGUAGGCGGCCAGCACAAGUCAGUUGUGAAAUCUCCGAGCUUAACUCGGAAAGGUCAACUGAUACUGUGCGGCUAGAGUGCGGAAGGGGCAACUGGAAUUCUUGGUGUAGCGGUGAAAUGCGUAGAUAUCAAGAGGAACACCUGCGGCGAAGGCGGGUUGCUGGGCCGACACUUGACGC